CUAGGAUUGUGCAGCAGGUUCGGCCAAAAAAGACCCAGUGGCAAGAAAAUUACAGCACGGGAAGAGAAAACGAGUCGCAAGAAGAGAGAGAACGGAAAGAGAGAUUUUCUUUUUCAUCACAUCCGAACGAAUUAAAUAUCAAAAUAAUAACAAUGCACCAUACUAAACAUAAAAGGUAUCAACCAAAGCAAUUGCAAUAGAAAUUGACAUGUAUUGAAUGAAGGGGUCUCAAUGAGUCUAAUGCAAACGGAAACAGAUAGCAAAUGAUCCAAACACAAAGGGUAGUUCCUUCAACAAAAACUUAAUUUUAAUCCCAUAACAAACUACAGCUAAUGAAUAACCAUGUUUGAGACAACAAUUUUAAUAAAAAAACACCACUACCAUAUUUCAAUGUUAGGAUUUUUGGAACCUUGCACGAGCACCAUGACCACCAAACUUCUUGGGCUCACAGCGUCUGGGAUCUACCACAAGCAGGGUGCUAUAGUACCUCAUGAGAAUGUCCUUCAUCUCCUUCUUGGAUUGCUUAUCCAAGUAUUUUUGGUAGAAAGCGAUGAGGGCUUCGCGAUGGACCUAUCGAUAGCAUAUAUUUGGGAGGUGUGACCACCACUCUUAACACGAAUCCUCAUAUCCACUUCGAAAAACCAGUGGCGACCGAGGAGAAGAAUGGGUUCAAAUGCCUUGUAGCGCAGAAUUUCCCGUUGGACCAACUCGAUGAAGACGUCGUUGAUCUUGAUCAAUCCGCGGCCACGCUUGCAGUGGGAAACUGCGACGACGGUUUUUUUCUAUUCGAACGAAGCAUUGGUUAAGGUUGGCUUCUAUCUCUGGUGAAGAAAAACCCUAAUCCUAGUGCAACUUUGACGAACGAAAGGAGAGAUUAGGGUUAAUGGAGUGUUUUCAUUUGGAGAGAGUACGGAGAAAGAUAUUUUGUAUAGAUGCCAUAAGACCAAUACAUCCUUCCAUGAAUCAUUGUAACGAUUACUUUGUCAGUAAGAGAAAAGGGAUU
rnacentral:lncRNA from 1 species